CACGAACGCUGGCGGCAGGCUUAACACAUGCAGGUCGAGCGUCCCGCAAGGGGAGCGGCAGACGGGUGAGUAACGCGUGGGAAUCUACCCAUCUCUACGGAAUAACGCAUGGAAACGUGUGCUAAUACCGUAUACGUCCUUCGGGAGAAAGAUUUAUCGGAGAUGGAUGAGCCCGCGUUGGAUUAGCUAGUUGGUGGGGUAAAGGCCUACCAAGGCGACGAUCCAUAGCUGGUCUGAGAGGAUGAUCAGCCACACUGGACUGAGACACGGCCCAGACUCCUACGGGAGGCAGCAGUGGGGAAUAUUGGACAAUGGGCGCAAGCCUGAUCCAGCCAUGCCGCGUGAGUGAUGAAGGCCCUAGGGUUGUAAAGCUCUUUCACCGGUGAAGAUAAUGACGGUAACCGGAGAAGAAGCCCCGGCUAACUUCGUGCCAGCAGCCGCCGUAACAC
rnacentral:rRNA from 1 species